rnacentral:rRNA from 1 species
GCAGCCACGGUAAUUCCAGCUCCAAUAGCGUAUAUUAAAGUUGUUGCAGUUAAAAAGCCCGUAGUUGAAUUUCGGGUUAGUAAGUUGGUCGUACCUUUGGUAUGUACUGGCUUUACUGAUUCUCCUUCUUGACGAACCGUGAUGUCAUUAAUUUGGUGUUGCAGGAAAUCAGGACUGUUACUUUGAAAAAAUUAGAUUGUUUAAAGCAGGCUAACGCUUAUAUACAUUAGCAUAGAAUAAUGAAAUAGGACAUUAAUCCUAUUUUGUUGGUUUCUAGGAUCGAUGUAAUGAUUAAUAGGGAUAGUUGGG